rnacentral:piRNA from 1 species
UACAAGUGUACCUGCCGCGCCAC